rnacentral:rRNA from 2 species
GGGACCCGUCUUGAAACACGGACCAAGGAGUCUAGCAUGUGCGCGAGUCAUUGGGACUCUAACGAAACCUAAAGGCGUAAUGAAAGUGAAGGUUCGCCCCGCGCGAACCGAGGGAGGAUGGACGGUCGUACGUGGCCGUCCCGCACUCCCUGGGCGUCUCGUUCUCAUCGCGAGAAGAGGCGCACCAAGAGCGUACACGCUGGGACCCGAAAGAUGGUGAACUAUGCCUGGUCAGGACGAAGUCAGGGGAAACCCUGAUGGAGGUCCGUAGCGAUUCUGACGUGCAAAUCGAUCGUCGGAACUGGGUAUAGGGGCGAAAGACUAAUCGAACCAUCUAGUAGCUGGUUCCCUCCGAAGUUUCCCUCAGGAUAGCUGGCGCUCGCUUCUCGCGAGUCUCAUUCGGUAAAGCGAAUGAUUAGAGGCAUUGGGGUCGAAACGGCCUCAACCUAUUCUCAAACUUUAAAUGGGUGAGAUCUCCGGCUUGCUUGAACUGUGAAGCCGCGAGAUAUCGGAUCAGAGUGCCAAGUGGGCCACUUUUGGUAAGCAGAACUGGCGCUGUGGGAUGAACCAAACGCCGAGUUAAAGCGCCUAAAUCGACGCUUAUGGGAUACCAUGAAAGGCGUUGGUAACUUAAGACAGCAGGACGGUGGCCAUGGAAGUCGGAAUCCGCUAAGGAGUGUGUAAA